rnacentral:lncRNA from 1 species
CAUUCUAUUGUUCAAUCCUAAGUCAAAUUAUGGUAAGUUGGGGGCUAGAUGGUGCUUAUCACGUAGUAAGGAAUACUCUAAGCAGUACCCAAAUAUUAACUCAGUCAAUCAUCACACAAACAAAAAGAAUAUACUGGAAUUAUCUCUAUCGUACAGAUGAGAAAUUUCAGACACAGGGAAGUUAGAUCAGCAAACCAGUGGCAGGACUCACCUGGGUGGUUUGCCUAUAGAGACCACAUGCUUGAACACAGGACGUCACCUCCAUGGUUAUUUUGUGAUUCGUAAGUAAAAUAUAACUGGGGUUUAAUAAUAUUAAGAAAAAUUUCCAAAGAAAUCAAUUUUAAUAGGUGAUUCAAGCUCAUUUUUUAUUCCUUUUAAAAACAUUUUAAUUUAUUUGCAGUUUCUUUGAAAGAGACAGAGAGAUCUUUCAUCUGCUGAUUCACUCCUCAAACACCUACAACAGCCAGCGCUGGGCCAGGCCAAAGCCAGGAAUUCAGAACUCCAUCAGAGUCUCCCAUGUGGGUGGCAGGGAUUCAAUCACUUGAGCUAUCACUUGCUGCUUCCCAGGGUCCACAUUAAGUGGAAGCUGGAUAGGAAGCAGAGAGUCAAGAUUCAAAUGAGGCACUUUGAUGUGGGAUGCAGUAGUCAUAAGCAGCUGUUUAGCUGCUAUGCCAAAUGCCUAUCUUCCAUUUUGUAUUCUGUUUUCACUGUAGUAAGCAGUUUCCUUGUAAUAAGACUAAGACUUGUCAGUGUGGAUCAUUCUCAGACUUAACUUCAAGCCAGUUGGAUGUAAACAAUCAUGUUUUACAGAUGAUCAAUGCACAGUAAAGCAAAGUUGCCCGGACAAAGUGGACCCCAGCAAGCUGUGCUUUUUAUGCGCUUUGCUUGCUAACUCUGAGUGUGAGCCUAGAUCGUGUGUCAUGAUCAGUGAGAAAGUAUGGAAACGUUACUGGAAGGUUUUUGAGUGAAUUUGGUUAUGAUUAGCCACUUCAAUUUCUUAUUCUCAGAAUGUCUCUUUUAUGCCAAAGACUCAGUUCCUGAAAAAUGACUGAACAAAAGUCUCCAUGGUUUUUAUGGGAAAUUCAGAUAGACUACUUAAUUGGGGCUAAUUGAAGUAAGCCUGACUCAAAUCCAUGCCCAUGGGUAGAUCUUCUGGGAGUUGGUUUCAUAAUUCUAACAUUGCAGCAUAGCAUAACUUGCAUUUAAGAGAAAUUUGGCUUUUGGCAUUAAAAAAAAAGGAAAUAAUGUCUAUGUAAAACACAAAAUUCAAGCUAGCUGAAUUUUUAAGCAGAUAAACUAUGAAUUCAUAAAGGCAUUUAUACCUGGCAGCAAUUAUGUGU